AACGAACGCUGGCGGCAGGCCUAACACAUGCAAGUCGAGCGAAGCCUUCGGGCUUAGCGGCGGACGGGUGAGUAACGCGUGGGAACGUGCCCUUUGGUACGGAAUAGCCCCGGGAAACUGGGAGUAAUACCGUAUGUGGUCGAGAGACGAAAGAUUUAUCGCCAAAGGAUCGGCCCGCGUUGGAUUAGGUAGUUGGUGGGGUAAUGGCCUACCAAGCCGACGAUCCAUAGCUGGUUUGAGAGGAUGAUCAGCCACACUGGGACUGAGACACGGCCCAGACUACUACGGGAGGCAGCAGUGGGGAAUCUUAGACAAUGGGGGAAACCCUGAUCUAGCCAUGCCGCGUGAUCGAUGAAGGCCUUAGGGUUGUAAAGAUCUUUCAGUGGGGAAGAUAAUGACUGUGCCCACAGAAGAAGCCCCGGCUAACUCCGUGCCAGCCGCCGCCGUAAGAC
rnacentral:rRNA from 1 species